GGCCACACCACAUCCGUCAUGUUGGAUAAAAGCGGGGCUCGAGCAGCGGGUGGACCACACGUGUGAGGAUCCUCUGAGCUGCAGCAGCUGAGGAACCAGGAGCGAGGACUCCACCCUGAGAAGAGUUCUCUCGUGUACAUUGCAGCACCACCUGUGAACACAUGGCCACCGACACGUGCACCAUGAAGGAUGAAAUCCACUGGAGCCCGUUCAGGAUUCCUGCCCGGUUGUGGAAAGCUUGGAUUAUUGCUGGGUGAAAUCCACUGGAGACUUCCCUGAGUCCUGCCCGGUUGAGGAAAGCUUGGGAUAAAUAAAGGAGAAUGUUGGGACAGUCAAAGAUAACUCGUCGACAGGGGGGGACCCUCAAAGCUUCUGACUGGAUGAACUCCUCUGGAGUCUAUUCCUGAUUCCUGCCCGGUUGAGGAAAGCAUGGAUUAUUGCUGGGUGAAAUCUACUGGAGACUUCCCAGAUUCCUGCACAGUUCAGGAACGCUCAGUGAUAGGUGCACGAGAUGAUCUCUCAACUGAUGAUGCCUCAGCAGGAUUUCUCCAUCUUGUCAAAGCAUUAAUAGUUGUAUGCUUUUUUGUUUUUGCUUCAUCACAAAAUAAAGAUUGAACUAACUGAA